GAGUUUGAUCGUGGCUCAGAACGAACGUUAGCGGCGCGCCUAAGACAUGCAAGUCGAGCGAGAAAGGGCUUCGGCCCCGGUAAAGCGGCGCACGGGUGAGUAACACGUAGGUCAUCAACCCUCGAGUGGUGGAUAACCCUCCGAAAGGAGGGCUAAUACAGCAUGAUGCUAGCAAUAGCCAAAGCGAGCCUCUUCAUGAAAGCCCGCGCUGGGGGAUGAGCCUGCGGCCCAUCAGGUAGUUGGCGGAGUAACAGCCCACCAAGCCUAAGACGGGUAGCUGGUCUGAGAGGAUGAACAGCCACACUGGAACUGAGACACGGUCCAGACUCCUACGGGAGGCAGCAGUCGGGAAUCUUCCGCAAUGGGCGAAAGCCUGACGGAGCGACGCCGCGUGAGCGAUGAAGGCC
rnacentral:rRNA from 1 species